UACGAAGGGUCCAAGCGUUAUCCGGAUUUAUUGGGUUUAAAGGGUGCGUAGGCGGCUUAUUAAGUCAGUGGUGAAAGCCUUCAGCUCAACUGAAGAACUGCCAUUGAUACUGAUGAGCUUGAGUAUAUUUGAGGCCGGCGGAAUGUGUCAUGUAGCGGUGAAAUGCUUAGAUAUGACACAGAACACCGAUUGCGAAGGCAGCUGGCUAAACUAUAACUGAACGCUGGAUGCACGAAAGCGUGGGGAGCAAACAGG
rnacentral:rRNA from 1 species